rnacentral:pre_miRNA from 1 species
AUAUUACUCCCUUCGUUCGGAAUUACUUGUCUCGAAUAUGGAUGUAUCUAGAACUAAAAUAUGUCUAGAUACAUCUAUUUUUGCGACAAGUAAUUCCGAACGGAGGGAGUAGUUC